rnacentral:rRNA from 1 species
UGCAGUCGAACGAGAAACUGGUUUUUAAUCAGUGGACAGUGGCGAACGGGUGAGUAACACGUGAGAAACCUGCCCCGGAGACUGGGACAACCGUUGGAAACGACGGCUAAUACCAGAUACCCCCGAUUGGUCGCAUGGCCGAUCGAGGAAAUGCUCUGGCGCUUCGGGAGGGUCUCGCGGCCUAUCAGCUAGUUGGCGGGGUAACGGCCCACCAAGGCAACGACGGGUAGCUGGUCUGAGAGGACGAUCAGCCACACUGGGACUGAGACACGGCCCAGACUCCUACGGGAGGCAGCAGUGGGGAAUAUUGCGCAAUGGGCGAAAGCCCUGACGCAGCAACGCCGCGUGAGGGAAGACGGCUCUCGGGUUGUAAACCUCUUUCAGUGAUGACGAAAAUGACGGUAAUCCCAGAAGAAGCUCCGGCCAACUACGUGCCAGCAGCCGCGGUAAUACGUAGGGAGCAAGCGUUGUCGGAUUCAUUGGGC